ensembl:lncRNA
AAGCGGCAUUCCAGGUGGAGGGAAAAGUAUAAGCAAAGGCACGGUAAUGUGAUGAUACUGCAUAGCAGGAGCUACAGAGAAUUUAGUACCAUAUUUUCGCAGCAUCAAAUGCCAGUUACCUAGGUGUGAGCCCUCGGGUGAGCCUCUCAACACCCCUGUCUACUCACUUGAAAAGUGAGGCCGAAUCCCACCUGGCUACUUUGGAGAGUGGAGGAGUCAUUUUAGGCAGCCCUGGUUCACAGAGGACCCCUGACUGAGGCCUAGGACAUACGCUGAGUGGGG